GACGAACGCUGGCGGCGUGCUUAACACAUGCAAGUCGAACGGUAAGGCCCUUCGGGGUACACGAGUGGCGAACGGGUGAGUAACACGUGGGUGAUCUGCCCUGCACUUCGGGAUAAGCCUGGGAAACUGGGUCUAAUACCGGAUAGGACUCCGGACUGCAUGGUCUGGGGUGGAAAGCUUUUUCGGUGUGGGAUGGGCCCGCGGCCUAUCAGCUUGUUGGUGGGGGGAUGGCCUACCAAGGCGACGACGGGUAGCCGGCCUGAGAGGGUGACCGGCCACACUGGGACGGAGAUACGGCCCAGACUCCUACGGGAGGCAGCAGGGGGGAAUAUUGCACAAUGGGCGCAAGCCUGAUGCGGCGACGCCGCGGGAGGGAUGACGGCCUUCGGGUUGUAAACCUCUUACAGCAUCGACGAAGCGAAAGUGACGGUAGGUGCAGAAGAAGGACCGGCCAACUACGUGCCAGCCGCCGCCGUAA
rnacentral:rRNA from 1 species